GGAUGGAUACCCAAGUGGCUGAAGGGGUCGGUCUAGAAAACCGAUAGGUCGUGUAUGCGGCGCGAGAGUUCGAAUCUCUCUCCAUCCA
rfam:Oenococcus oeni PST-1, complete genome.